rnacentral:rRNA from 1 species
UACGAAGGGGGCUAGCGUUGCUCGGAGUCACUGGGCGUAAAGCGCACGUAGGCGGCUUUUUAAGUCAGAGGUGAAAUCCUGGAGCUCAACUCCAGAACUGCCUUUGAUACUGGAGAGCUUGAGUCCGGGAGAGGUGAGUGGAACUGCGAGUGUAGAGGUGAAAUUCGUAGAUAUUCGCAAGAACACCAGUGGCGAAGGCGGCUCACUGGCCCGGUACUGACGCUGAGGUGCGAAAGCGUGGGGAGCAAACAGG